rnacentral:pre_miRNA from 21 species
UCCUGAGUUUUGGGGUACGUGUCAGAGGUGCAUUUACAUCGAACUAUUCCAGUUGAGGUAUUUGUAAAUGCACUAUCUGGUACGACAUUCCAGAAUCGAUAAUCGA